GCGGGGGUAGCCAAGCCCGGUUAACACUUGAGUGAUGAGGCGAAGCAUCGCCUAUGACUAAAGGCGUCAGACUCAAGAUCUGAUCUCCUAGCGAGUUCGUCGGUUCGAAAACUAGCCACACGGCAAUUAGACUCAUACCAUGUAUGAGUCAGUCAGCCGAUGUAUGGCAGUCGAGUCUCCGACCCCCCGCA
rnacentral:tRNA from 1 species